AUUGAACGCUGGCGGCAUGCCUUACACAUGCAAGUCGAACGGCAGCACGGGAGCAAUCCUGGUGGCGAGUGGCGAACGGGUGAGUAAUAUAUCGGAACGUGCCCGAUCGUGGGGGAUAACGUAGCGAAAGCUACGCUAAUACCGCAUACGAUCUACGGAUGAAAGCGGGGGAUCGCAAGACCUCGCGCGAUUGGAGCGGCCGAUAUCAGAUUAGGUAGUUGGUGAGGUAAAGGGCUCACCAAGCCGACGAUCUGUAGCUGGUCUGAGAGGACGACCAGCCACACUGGGACUGAGACACGGCCCAGACUCCUACGGGAGGCAGCAGUGGGGAAUUUUGGACAAUGGNGCAAGCCUGAUCAGCAAUGCCGCGUGCAGGAUGAA
rnacentral:rRNA from 1 species